rnacentral:rRNA from 1 species
GACGCUGGCGGCGUGCCUAACACAUGCAAGUCGAACGGGGUUGUUCCUUCGGGGACAACUUAGUGGCGAACGGGUGAGUAACGCGUGAGGAACCUGCCUUUCAGUGGGGGACAACAGUUGGAAACGACUGCUAAUACCGCAUAAUGUUGUCGGAUGGCAUCAUCUGGCAACCAAAGCUUUAUGUGCUGAAAGAUGGCCUCGCGUCUGAUUAGAUAGUUGGUGAGGUAACGGCUCACCAAGUCGACGAUCAGUAGCCGGACUGAGAGGUUGACCGGCCACAUUGGGACUGAGAUACGGCCCAGACUCCUACGGGAGGCAGCAGUGGGGAAUAUUGGGCAAUGGGCGAAAGCCUGACCCAGCAACGCCGCGUGAAGGAAGAAGGCUUUCGGGUUGUAAACUUCUUUUGUCAGGGACGAACAAAUGACGGUACCUGACGAAUAAGCCACGGCUAACUACGUG